GGUGGUACAUCCGAGUUUCUAAGCUUUUUAGCUGGGUAUGCCUCUAGCCUCUACUGUUCCUUCAGCCCCUGGUGACAGGGGGUCGCGUACGGGUGUUCUCAGAAAAUCAGGAAAAUGAGACAUUGCUUUGAGAAAAUACCUGGACUUGGAGGUUUAUAACAAAGAUUUCUUGUAAUCCCAGAGGCUAAGAAGCCCAAGGUCAAGGAAUCAGCAAAUACAGUGUUCAGAGUCUUGCUCUCUCAUCAGGCUAGAGUGUGGUAACUGGAUCUCGGCUCACUGCAACCUCCACUUCUUGGAUACAAGCGAUUCUGCUGCCUCAGCCUCCUGAGUAGCUUGGAUUACAGACGCCUGCCACCACACCCAGCUAAUUAUUGUAUUUUUAGUAGGGAGGAGGUUUCACCAUGUUUUCCAGGAUUGUCUUGAUUUCUUGACCUUGUGAUCUGCCCACCUCAGGCUCCCAAAGUGCUGGGAUUACAAGCAUGAGCCGCUGCACCUGGCCAUAUUUUCAUUUCUUUUUGAAUUAUGUGCUAGAUGCAGGUGAAGCUUGACUUCUUCCAGCAUAGUUAGGGGCAUGGUUACUUCCAUAUGUUCUGGCCUUACUAUAAUAAACCACACAGAAAUAUAUACACUGUUUGAAAUGAGGAGCUUCAUCCAGGCAAGCACGUGAUGUGAAGAGUGGCCUGUGGUAUUGCGGACCAGGAAUGUCAAGUAAUUGACAUGGUGUUGCAGGACUCAGAAGGAUGAGUGAGACCUCGGGGUGAAACAAGAGAAUAUUUAUUGCGUGCACUUAGGCCCAGCUGACUCAAUGUCCAAAAGACUGGGCCCGGAACAAAGACAGAAUCUGAUUUUUAUAUACACUUCACGAAAGGGGGUGGGCUAGCUUAAAGCAAGCUUAUGGUGGCAUGAAAGCAGGGAUACAGAGGCAGGGCAAAGACAGUAUUGCACAUGACCAUUGCCAAGGCAACCCAGAUGUCUGUUACCUAGAUUUGUCUGGGCACGGGCUUAUCCUAUAACCUUCACUAUAGUGCCCACGCAGCUAUAGUUCAAGCCUACACAGGUUUCUCAUGACCUUCAUUGUACUUCUUAGAUAAAACAGAGUACUUGAAGUCACUAGUUACAGAGAACAACAAUCUACAAACUCAUUCCAUGAAACAAAGGAAAAUUUGUUUUUCUUCUCCCUGCGUUGAGGGUGUGCUGGAAGAGUCUGCGGUACACAUUAGAUUAUAUUAUCAAGACUUUUCCUGGGUCUGGGCUGUGCCUGUUGCUGCCUCUGGGACAAGUCAGACUAAUACAGGAAAACUUAUUUCUCUUUCUUUUUAAUUUUAUUUUUCUUUAAUUUCCUGCCUCAUUGGAACUUCUUAGAUUUUAGAAAUACAGUUAUUUAAGCAUACUCAAAGAAAACUACUGCCUGUAUUGAUAGGGAUAAGAAUACAAUUAAAUCAUUUAAUAUCCAUAACCCCCCUCAAAAAGCCCUUUAUUCCCAAGUAGCAAGUAUGUAAAUUAAUUUUCAUCUCUUUUCUACCCUUCCUUUGCUAGAAUUACUUAUGCAUAACUAAAACACCCAGACAAGUCUCUGAAGGGAACAAUGCAUUUUUUUCUUUACUGUAACUUGGAACUAAAAACAUUGACUGAUUUUGUAAUUUAAGUGAAGUAGCUCUCAAAUAUAAAUCUUUUAUUUUAUUUUUUUUUUUAGUAAAGACUGAGUGCUUAGGUAGAAAUAAGUAACCACUGAACCAGUGGAAGCAAAGUUCAGCUGUGCAAUGCUCUUUAUGAUACUGAUUAAGUACAGCCUUAUCAGUUCCAAAAGUGCUGGCUUUGUUUUUGUAGUCACAGAGUUGUCUAAAGGCAGGCUUACCCAGCUCCUGGGUCCCACAUGUACAUUAUUUAUUUAGUAUGCCAGAAUUU
rnacentral:lncRNA from 10 species